AAUGAACUACACGCUCCUAGGAAGCACCAGGGCAACUCAAGCAGGCACUGGUUAAUAUUAACUCUUAAUAAUCAGAUAUUGCCAAAUCAAAUUUUUUCUGAACUUUUAGAAGAAAAGUUUUGAUAGUUUGACUUUUUGUCCCAAUUGAGGAUGAAAACAUGAUGAAAUAUUGGAAUUUCCCACGGGACAGAAAUUGUUUUAAAAUCAGUUAUAACAAUUAUCCCAGCCUAUUCCUUGACAUGGAUAGAUGAAGAGAGUUGGAUCAGUAUGUGGAGAACUACCUGGUUCUUGUUCUUUCAAAAGGCUCUCGUAUAUUAUGGCUCAUCACCAUGGUAUAAGUAUUUAGAUGGAUGGAUAGUAUAACCUACUAAUAGACCAUUAAUAUGAUGACCCAGAGCACUUCUAGAGAAUAACAUUGCCUUUGCCAGUGCUACUGGCAACAGCCAAAUCUACCUCAGGUCACAUAUCUUAGAAUCUGACCAUAUCAGCUGGGAGCUUGUGCACUUUACAUUGACUGACUGGCAAAUUACAACUGCUCUCUGGAGCAGCCCAUGUGUUAUUAAUGAGGGGUUGGGUUGGUAGAAAGGGAUAGUGUCAAUGCUAAAGGGCAGAAGCCCAAUCUCUCCAAGCUGUAGCAGCCUGGUAUGAGUUCUGCAGUGCACCUGCAGAGCUCAAUGUCAAGGAUUGGUAACAAAUCUGGAGGUAGAGUUACAUCAGAGCACCCAGCAUCAUUUAAAUCUUUGACCGCACUCAGGUUCUUAUUUUAUUAGUUGUCCCCUGAAAUCACUUGGCUUCCAGGUCCUGUGGAUCCUGCCCACUUCCUGGAUCCCAAUAGGAUCAUUUAAAUCCAUCAUGUCAGAUUGAUUAGAGUGAGGUUCAGAGUAGGAGAUAGUUGAGACUCUAGUACCUUUCUGGACCAAGGUCCUCAGAAAAGGGCUCUUAACUGCUAAAGAAAUAUUAUUGUGAACCUCGUGCUAGGAGACAGUUUCUCCUUAGCUGGUGGAACAGAGGGGGACUUUCAACUGUAGUUGGCUUUCUGAGCCCCAUUUACUGUGCAGAAAUACCCCCAUCUGUGAAGGCCUAGCUAAUUGGGAACAGGGAGGGAGGGCACAUUCACACUGUUCUCUGUGAGAAGUAGAGUGGUGCUGGCAGGAUCUGGAUCCAUUCCAGGGCACCUAGAUUUGUGCCUCAGUUUAGUUGUUUGCUUGUGUUUUAUCCAGUAUUAAGUUGCAGAUUGAACUUCUUCAUUUAGAGAAAGACCUGGGAGUUCUUGUUUUUUUUACAACAGACCUUCUGCAGUUGAGAACACUGGCUGGCUCCUUUUGGUUUUACUUCGUGAAGCCCACAUCAUUCUGAACUUCCUCCGCUUCCCAGAACUGCAGAGAGAUCUGAUGGUUUAAAAACACACAAUUCCUCGUCUGUAGCUUAGUCAAACCAUUUAAUCUCAUUUUGUUUGGCAAAUGCUGGUGUCCUUUGUCCUCAAGGAACCAAUAUGGAAAUGGAAGAUUUGCUCCUUUCUUUAUCAAGACAUCUCCGCUGGUGUCAGCAUGAUUCCAUGAAAACAUUUGCUAGCAAACUCACUAACUUGGCCUCUGCAACAGCAGAAGAAAUUAUAGCAUUGCAGGGUCAGUCAGAAACAUGGCUGUUGGGCUUUUGUUUGUGUUGUUUUGAUUUUUCCAAAUGACAGGACUGCAGCUUCUCAAAUGCUAAAGAGCACUCCAGGCAGCAGCAGGUGAAAGGCAUCUGUCCAAAGAAAUCCAAAUUUCAGUAGUUGAAAAUUUAUUUUUAUUUUCAGCUCAUAGGGACGACAGUACCUAAAAUGCAAAUAGAGCCAUAGGGAGACUAUAAAGACCUGAGCUACUUCAUGCUUCAUUCCUCUGGGUUCUUAAGGAGCUUGGCAGGGCCCUGAUUUUAUUUGGAAGGAAAAGAGCAAGCAUAUGGUAGGAUUUAAACUGAUUCUUUAUUUAAGCCAAUGCCUUCAUCACCUCUGUGCUGACUCAGUUCCAUGUGUAAAGUGUCACUCAGGUGUUAAGUAGCACCUAGGGAACCCUGUUCAGAGCUGCUGUUGAUGGCUAUGGAGAGAGUUGUACAAAUGACAAGAGGAGUUGAGCCCACAUACACUUUGAGCUGUUCUAAUCCUAUGGUGCUCAGUCAGGGGAUGAAAUCCUGGCCAUUGAAGUCAAUGGAAUUUUGCAGUUAGCUACAAUGAGGCCAGGAUUUCACACAGAACCAGUACAUUGUAACUCCCUGCUGCAACAUUUCAGUUCGUUAUUGUGUAUGAGGCUGCUUGCUUCACAGCUGGGUGACAGUUUUUGACUGAAACUGUUUCUCUGCAAAAAAUGAUUUGGUGUCACUGAAAUGUUUCACUAAUUUGUGAGACAAGGUGGGUGAGGUAAUAUCACCAAUUUUGAAAACAAAGCCAACAAACUCCAAACAAGUCCAAACAUUUUGUUUUGACAUUUUCAAAACAAAAUAUUUAAAUUUUUAAAUUCAAAAUAACUUUUUUGUUACAAAAUUUCCUUCAAUUGUAGUUUUUAAAAUGUUUUAUAAAUGCUCAAAAUCAAAGUGAAAUGUUUUGUCUGAGGCCAAAUGAUUUUUUUAACCCCUCAAUUUGCCAAAAGUGUCAAAAAAAAUUGUUUUCGUGUCAAUUCAACAUUUAAAAACAUGGAACUGCCACCAAACCAAAAACUUAGUUAUUUGCCCAGCUCUACCCACUACAUGUAUAAUGAGAGAAAUAAGACCUGAUUCCUAGUCAUGUUUGAAAAUUUACCUGCACUUUACUUGUGCAACAGCUGCUCCCUAAGAGAGACACUCCAAAGAUGGUAGUGUCAGAACUUACAAAUGAUAUAAUUUGUUAAACAUUACGGUCUAGAGCUAUGAUGGACAGGAAAUUAAUUAGCCAUAGAGCAACGCAUGUGACUAUGUAUGCAUACAAGCAGACUUCAGAUUGGCUGGGUAAAGUACAAAAUCUUCCUUUCUGUAUUCUGAAUGGUGCUGUAUUAAUCUUUGGCUAGUAAACUUUGAUUAAAUAAAUUCUGAUUGAGAUGGUUGUCUGA